GCAGAGUAGGAUGGUAAGCGCUAAGUGCCUGCGGAACGGGGAGUUGUCGGCAGGACGAAAAGCAAUUUGCUUGUGGUUUACCUUCCGCAUCCCGCUGC
rnacentral:ncRNA from 1 species